rnacentral:rRNA from 1 species
AACGACUCUCGACAAUGGAUAUCUCGGCUCUUGCAUUGAUGAAGAACGUAGCAAAAUGCGAUACUUGGUGUGAAUUGCAGAAUCCAAUGAACCAUCGAGUCUUUGAACGCAAGUUGUGCUCGAAGCCAUUAGGCCGAGGGCACGUCUGCCUGGGCGUCACGC